rnacentral:rRNA from 1 species
CCUACGGGAGGCAGCAGUGAGGAAUAUUGGUCAAUGGGCGCGAGCCUGAACCAGCCCAGUAGCGUGAAGGAUGACUGCCCUACGGGUUGUAACCUUCUUUUAUAAAGGAAUAAAGUGAGGCACGUGUGCCUUUUUGCAUGUACUUUAUGACUAAGGAUCGGCUAACUCCGUGCCAGCAGCCGCGGUAAUACGGAGGAUCCGAGCGUUAUCCGGAUUUAUUGGGUUUAAAGGGUGCGUAGGCGGCCUUUUAAGUCAGCGGGGAAAGUCUGUGGCUCAACCAUAGAAUUGCCGUUGAAACUGGGAGGCUUGAGUAUGUUUGAGGCAGGCGGAAUGCGUGGUGUAGCGGUGAAAUGCUUAGAUAUCACGCAGAACCCCGAUUGCGAAGGCAGCCUGCCAAGCCAUGACUGACGCUGAUGCACGAAAGCGUGGGGAUCAAACAGGAUUAGAUACCCGAGUAGUC